AAAUUGAAGAGUUUGAUCAUGGCUCAGAUUGAACGCUGGCGGCAGGCCUAACACAUGCAAGUCGAACGGUAACAGGAAGCAGCUUGCUGCUUUGCUGACGAGUGGCGGACGGGUGAGUAAUGUCUGGGAAACUGCCUGAUGGAGGGGGAUAACUACUGGAAACGGUGGCUAAAACCGCAUAACGUCGCUAGACCAAAGAGGGGAACCCUGGGGCCUCUUGCCAUCAGAAGUGCCCAGGUGGGAUUAGCUUGUUGGUGAGGUAACGGCUCACCAAGGCGACGAUCCCUAGCUGGUCUGAGAGGAUGACCAGCCACACUGGAACUGAGACACGGUCCAGACUCCUACGGGAGGCAGCAGUGGGGAAUAUUGCACAAUGGGCGCAAGCCUGAUGCAGCCAUGCCGCGUGUAUGAAGAAGGCCUUCGGGUUGUAAAGUACUUUCAGCGGGGAGGAAGGUGUUGUGGUUAAUAACCGCAGCAAUUGACGUUACCCGCAGAAGAAGCACCGGCUAACUCCGUGCCAGCAGCCGCGGUAAUACGGAGGGUGCAAGCGUUAAUCGGAAUUACUGGGCGUAAAGCGCACGCAGGCGGUCUGUCAAGUCGGAUGUGAAAUCCCCGGGCUCAACCUGGGAACUGCAUUCGAAACUGGCAGGCUUGAGUCUUGUAGAGGGGGGUAGAAUUCCAGGUGUAGCGGUGAAAUGCGUAGAGAUCUGGAGGAAUACCGGUGGCGAAGGCGGCCCCCUGGACAAAGACUGACGCUCAGGUGCGAAAGCGUGGGGAGCAAACAGGAUUAGAUACCCUGGUAGUCCACGCCGUAAACGAUGUCUACUUGGAGGUUGUGCCCUUGAGGCGUGGCUUCCGGAGCUAACGCGUUAAGUAGACCGCCUGGGGAGUACGGCCGCAAGGUUAAAACUCAAAUGAAUUGACGGGGGCCCGCACAAGCGGUGGAGCAUGUGGUUUAAUUCGAUGCAACGCGAAGAACCUUACCUGGUCUUGACAUCCACAGAACUUUCCAGAGAUGGAUUGGUGCCUUCGGGAACUGUGAGACAGGUGCUGCAUGGCUGUCGUCAGCUCGUGUUGUGAAAUGUUGGGUUAAGUCCCGCAACGAGCGCAACCCUUAUCCUUUGUUGCCAGCGGUCCGGCCGGGAACUCAAAGGAGACUGCCAGUGAUAAACUGGAGGAAGGUGGGGAUGACGUCAAGUCAUCAUGGCCCUUACGACCAGGGCUACACACGUGCUACAAUGGCGCAUACAAAGAGAAGCGACCUCGCGAGAGCAAGCGGACCUCAUAAAGUGCGUCGUAGUCCGGAUUGGAGUCUGCAACUCGACUCCAUGAAGUCGGAAUCGCUAGUAAUCGUGGAUCAGAAUGCCACGGUGAAUACGUUCCCGGGCCUUGUACACACCGCCCGUCACACCAUGGGAGUGGGUUGCAAAAGAAGUAGGUAGCUUAACCUUCGGGGGGGCGCUUACCACUUUGUGAUUCAUGACUGGGGUGAAGUCGUAACAAGGUAACCGUAGGGGAACCUGCGGUUGGAUCACCUCCUUA
rnacentral:rRNA from 1 species